CCCGUACCGCAAACCGACACAGGUGGAUGAGGAGAGUAUCCUAAGGCCAGCGAGAGAACUGUUGUUAAGGAACUCGGCAAAAUGACCCCGUAACUUAGGGAUAAGGGGUGCCACCAUCAGGUGGCCGCAGAGAAUAGGCCCAAGCGACUGUUUACCAAAAACAUAGGUUUCUGCUAAGUCGCAAGACGAUGUAUAGGAGCUGACGCCUGCCCGGUGCUGGAAGGUUAAGGGGAUCUGUUAGAGCAAUCGAAG
rnacentral:rRNA from 1 species